CUUCACCUAUCAGAGAACAACUGCGGUGUUGCUUUUGGGUGCGAUCAUACCAGCACUAA
rnacentral:rRNA from 1 species